rnacentral:rRNA from 1 species
GACGGAGGAUGCAAGCGUUAUCCGGAAUGAUUGGGCGUAAAGCGUCCGCAGGUGGCAGUUCAAGUCUGCUGUCAAAGACCGGGGCUUAACUUCGGAAAGGCAGUGGAAACUGAACAGCUAGAGUAUGGUAGGGGCAGAGGGAAUUCCUGGUGUAGCGGUGAAAUGCGUAGAGAUCAGGAAGAACAUCGGUGGCGAAGGCGGCUUCCUGGACCGACACUGACGCUGAGGCGCGAAAGCUAGGGGAGCAAACGGG